CUGAGUAGGGCGGGACCGGUGAAAUCCUGUCUGAAUCUGCCGGCACCAUCUGGUAAGGCUAAAUACUCCUGAGAGACCGAUAGUGAACAAGUACCGUGAGGGAAAGGUGAAAAGAACCCCAAAUAGGGGAGUGCAAUAGUACCUUAAACCAUACGCCUACAAGCGGUCGGAGCCUGAAAGGGUGACGGCGUGCCUUUUGCAUAAUGAGCCUACGAGUUACUGCUCACUGGCAAGGUUAAGAGAAUAGAUUCUCGGAGCCGUAGCGAAAGCGAGUCCGAAUAGGGCGCUUUAGUCAGUGGGCGUAGACGCGAAACCUGCGUGAGCUACCCAUGACCAGGAUGAAGUUGCUGUAACAGGCAAUGGAGGUCCGAACCAGUUUACGUUGAAAAGUAUUUGGAUGAGUUGUGGGUAGGGUGAAAGGCCAAUCAAACUGGGAGAUAGCUCGUACU
rnacentral:rRNA from 1 species